UCCUAGAGUCGGCAACUACACCGCACACUAUCUAAGACGAGGCAGUCCCAAUGGCCGAGUCGAACGUUGGAGCGAGACGCUGAGGGGCGGGCAAAACCCUAGAUGGCAUCCGCUCUCCUCUUCCACCGCCAUUGCUGUCGGUGGUCGCGAUCCCCUCUCCGUCUCGGUGGCGCCACCUCCACACGUCGCUCUCUCCUCCGCUUCGCUUCAAGCCUUUCACCUCAUCGCAAAACUGGGUGUCCGAAGUACCCCAAGCACGGGAGAACCCAACUACCAAUACCACCAGAAUAAAGUAUCUCUUUCUCUCUCCCUCUUUCUUUUCCUUUCUUUCUCGGUGAUUCUUGCUUCUUCGAUGGAUCCAAGGGUUCUUGGGCAGAGUUCUUCAAAGAUCGAGACUAUUUGGGGCGAGGAUUGUGGACACCACUUGUCGGUUGAGCCCAUCACCAUGGACAAGUUCCAUAUUCAUGGUUUUAUGAAGAACUCCUUUUGUCAAAGAAGUGAAAGGAAGGUCCAUGAGGCCAUUGGAAAUGUAUCUACCAGAUUUAGCUCACAUCAGUGUUUUAAAUAGUUUGAAGGUUGUGCUUCUGCUGUCGUGGUAACCUGGUGGGACAAUUCUAUGAAGACAUCAAAAGUAGAAAUAGUCAAAGAGAAAAACAAAAAAAGGCAAAAGAAAUGAAAAACUUCGGCAUUUUAUGUUUUGAUUUCCAGAACAUGUGUGGUUCCAUAUAGAACCUUCCAUCGGUGCAUCUUGACUAACUGGGGUUUGUAGAGUUGGUAAGGCUAUACUAUGCCUACAUGCAGGUGAGUUGCACAUUAUCUUAUACAUUAAGUUGCCACUGAUACAAAAAAAAAAGGGUUCCUUGUAUUAAUUAUAACCUUGGUAACAGUUAGUUGUUGCUGCAUGUUGGUUGAUUUGAAAAGAAAGGAAUGCCCGUAUAUUUAUUAAAUACUUGGCAUUAUCUCUCAAAGCCUUGCCUAGUACUCUAUCGGAAUGAAAAAGAUUUUUCAUCAAAAUAAAAAAAUGUGGGAAGUCUUCUGGAAGAAGUUAAGUUGGUUUAUUACAGGCUUUCAAACAUAAGCUCGUAUGUGGUUGUUGCUUGUUAAGAUUUUUUUGGUUUGAGCCUUUGCUAGUCCUUUUUUUUUCCCUUCUUUUAUUUCUUUUUUUAAUUAUUUUUUAGAACUAGGAUGGGAGAAAAUCCAUCUAAAAUUGACUCAGAGCGAGACUUUUCAUGCAUUGGCAUCAAAUUUCAAUGAUCUUACCAACUACACAAGUUGACACCCUUCGAGUUUUGAAUUCAGGUGGGUUGCCUUUCCUUUUCUUGGAAAAUGCCUCCAAAUUUGUUAUUUGAAAGACUGUGAUAUGUCUCCAUGUUCAUCGGCGGGAUUCACGCUAUACAGCAUUGUGUUUAUCACUGAAUUUCAUUUUAUUGAGGUCUUGGUCAUAUAUGUGGACCGUCAAGCCACUAAAUUUUAGAAAUAUUGGCCCUAAUACGUCUCGUCUACGCUGAAGGCUGGCUUUGAUGCGGAACUCUGUUCGUUUUUCGGCAACUUGCAUGCACUGGCAAUUCAAGUCCAGGCUCCAAGUCCCAGUUGCCAGUGUUCUUGUGAAGCAUGGAUUUCUCUAUGACCACAGAAGCAGCAUUCAGUUUUAGCAUUGUGCUCUUUAAACGAAGAUUUAAUUAACCAGUUGGUCAAGAGUUUGUGAUGUAGAGACUUGGAAGAAAUGUGAUGAUGGAGACCUUUGUGGCUGCGACAAAGUUGUCCAAAGGGACAUUUGAGUGACAACAUUCAGAACAUUAUUUAAGUAGCGGAGCAAUGCAUCCAUGAACGCAUUUGUCAAGAACAUGAUGAGACCAUCUUCCAUCAUCCUGUACCUUAUGGUACUGAUAGCCAUCUUCUUUGCAAUGAAAUCUGAGUUGGCUAAUGGAACUCGUUUUAUGAACACUGAAGAGAGGAUGCUGUUUGAAAGACCCGGACUCAACCCACCACCACCGCCGACCGGUGCUGUAAGUCCCAUAACGGCGGUAGCUGCUCCACCUCCCGUGAGAGGAGAUUGAGUUUAUAACAAACAAAAAUUUGCCAUAGACUCAGGAACAUGUUAGAGCCUAACAGAUUCAAUCUUUGGAGUUUUUGAGUUAUAUAUAGAAUAAACGAAUAUGAUGAGAGCUGAGAACAUAUUGCAUUCAGCAUAGCAACUAUAUUUAUUAUCAUAUUGUAACGCAUACCGUUAUCUUAUUAAUUGUAGAUAUAUUAUAUAUAUCAAAAUAAUCGUUAUCUGCUGCA